rnacentral:rRNA from 1 species
AGAGUUUGAUCCUGGCUCAGAACGAACGCUGGCGGCGUGCCUAACACAUGCAAGUCGAACGGAGAUAAGGGGCUUGCUCCUUAUUUUAGUGGCGCACGGGUGAGUAACGCGUGGAUAAUCUACCUUGGAAUCUGGGAUAACAUCUCGAAAGGGGUGCUAAUACCGGAUAAGACCACGAGCUCUUCGGAGUUUGCGGUAAAAGGGGGCCUCUGUAUAUGCUUCUGUUUCAAGAUGAGUCCGCGUACCAUUAGCUAGUUGGCAGGGUAAUGGCCUACCAAGGCGACGAUGGUUAGCUGGUCUGAGAGGAUGAUCAGCCACACUGGAACUGAGACACGGUCCAGACUCCUACGGGAGGCAGCAGUGGGGAAUUUUGCGCAAUGGGGGAAACCCUGACGCAGCAACGCCGCGUGAGUGAUGAAGGCCUUCGGGUCGUAAAGCUCUGUCAGAGGGAAAGAAGUGUGGGAGGGUUAAUACCCCUUUCACUCGACGGUACCCUCAAAGGAAGCACCGGCUAACUCCGUGCCAGCAGCCGCGGUAAUA